GUCAAACGCGCUCAGCGCUUGAAAACCGGGUCUGAUUUAUGCAAAAGCGCGGCGUCUCCAGGGCCAAACGAAACGCGCGCAACGGGGUCGGGGAGUCCAUGCCGGAUUACGGCCACGCGGGACUCAGGGAAAGAAGAAAGGGAAGGGAAGGGGGCAAAAAGUUUCCCCUUCCCUCCUAAAUCCUUUAACCUCCUCUUCUCAGCAUAGCGGGCCUACGUGAGCCCCACUGGGAAAACUUCAAUAAGCAGCUCAACUUGCGUAGCGUGAUUUGGCAAAAGCUUCGCCUCGCGGCGCGGUGGCGCGCUCCUCCCCGGCCCACAUAUGCUUUGAGUUGUUGAAGGCCACUCAACACACAUACAACUAGGCCCUAAGAAAAAUGGUGUAUAAUAAGGGUCUCGGAUUUAGUGGAAGGAAAACACGAAAGCCUAAGAUGAUAUGUGGGAGAGACAUUGUAUCAGAAGAUUAAUGGGGCCCAUAAUUGCCUGAUCAAAUGUAGUAAGUGACAACCACCGGAUCCAUUUGGAGGCCAGAAAGUAAUUCCUGUUUGGUGGCAAGCUGGAUGUGUUCCUUUAUUAUUUUGACAUUAAUGUUUAAUUACCACUGUUUAUACAACAUUUCAUAGUGGUCCAUCAUAUCGGUGCAGAGUCAAUAUUUAACAUUGGUUAAAGCUUAGACGUCUGGGGAGAUCUAGGAUCGGAUCAAAUCUUCAUUCGGCCAUGGACCUUUGCUUGACAGCCUUAGAAUCACCUGAGAUAUAAAAUAUCCUGAAGGAUGUUCAGCUUAUCAACAUUACUCCGGGAGAACAACCUAAAAUCAUCCCGGAAGUCUCAAAGAAUCCAAAAUUAUAUCCAGGGCUUUGCAAGCAUUUCUUGGUGUGACCAUCUAGACUUCUGGAGUAAAGUUCUAUCUUCACAGAUGAGUAACAAAAAGGAAGUGUAUAUAACAAUGGAGAACUUUACAGCAAGAUAAACAUGUUCAGAAAAAUGUAUUUUUUAAAGCUUUAAGUUAGCUUUAAGUUAUAAAGCAAACUUUUGUAUUUGCUUGCACCUUUUUUGUGCAAACAUACUAUUGUCCAAAUACACUUGCCACAAAAGACUAGAAUGCUGAAUUGUUUUGAGAACAACACUGAUUUUGCUCUAAUAAUUUUUUAAAUUGUUCUUUGUAUACCAUCUAUUUCAAUCAUUUGUAAGGAUGUUCAUUCCUUGAUUCAGAACAUUAAAGAUGGGGAAGAACAUUUUUGAUAAAACAGGCAGAACAGUGGCUACAUGUUUUUCUUUUCAUCUCAGCUUAAAAAAUACCUCUUUUAUUAAUGAAAGU